AUGUUUCUUGACAGGCCCUUGGACCCGGCCUUCUAUUUCCAGCAUCUUGUAGGACAAGGAUUCAAGGAGCUGUGCCCUGGGAAAGGCUGGCACACUGCUUUGCAACACGCAUCUGUUGGUAGGGACCAGUUCUCAUCAACAGACAGGAAGGAUGCAGGUGAGGAGGAGCCCUCCACGACUGUCC
rnacentral:lncRNA from 1 species